UACGAGGGGGGCAAGUGUUGUUCGGAAUCACUGGGCGUAAAGGGAGCGUAGGCGGAAGCUUAAGUCGGGAGUUUAAAACCGGGGCCCAACCCCGGAGCGGCUCCCGAAACUGGGUUUCUUGAAUGGGACAGAGGCUGGUGGAAUUGGGGGUGUAGCGGUGGAAUGCGUAGAGAUCCCCAAGAACACCGAUUGCGAAGGCAGCCAGCUGGGUCCACAUUGACGCUGAGGCUCGAAAGCAUGGGGAGCAAACAGG
rnacentral:rRNA from 1 species